UACAAGUGCAACCAUAAGUUUCCGCGCCCAAUUUUAAUCGUUCGUCUUAUUUAAAUUUUUUUAUAAUUAGUAUUUUUAUUGUUAUGAGAUGAUAAAACAUGAAUAGUACUUUACUCGUGACUUAUAUUUUUAAAUUUUUUUAAAAAUUUUUCAAAUAAGACGGACGGUUAAAGUUGGACGCGGAAAACUAUGGCUGCACUUAUA
rnacentral:pre_miRNA from 1 species